GUGGCCAACUCCCCCGCAAGGGAUCCGCUGGGGAGCGCGGCGGCCGAUCCCGUGCCGCAGCCAGCCACCUCCCACUUUGCCCACCACUGUGGCAGCCGCCGGCGGCCUUCCAUCUGUGCUGUAGCUGCCCCCGCCUGGAUCCGACCCCUGACAGCCGCCCCCGGCGCUUCCCUCGCCUGGGUUCGGCCGCCGCGUCGCCCCGCGCCUGGAUUCGACCGCUGCGCUGCACCCGCCCCUCGAUCCGGCCACCAUCAGCACCCCCCUCCCUGCACACGAGCGCUGGUGUCCACCGCCAGCCCCCAAGCACGCUACCCAGGGGGCCCAUCCCCAGACACCGUCCUUCGUCGUUGGCGCACCAUGGACGUCUUCCUCUUCUGCCUAGAAUUUCUUCGUCGUUGGUGCUUGCGUGCGCACGACAGCCACAUGUGGCGUGAGGAGAAGCCAAGCUAAAAGAAGAACACACUUUCUUCACAUGCAUGUGCAUGCAAGAUAGGCACAGAGAAGUUCGGAGCCGCCGACCCCAACAGCGGAACAACAGCUAUGAUCGAGUUAGCGCAAAGGUUUUCUGUGCUGCAAAAGCAAGGAUGGAGGCCUCGAAGGACCAUAAUUUUGUGUAGCUGGGAUGCAGAAGAGUACGGAUUGGCAAGUGGAUCUCUCUUCCAGCACCACAUUCAUUUGUUAUACAUACGUAGGCACCUUAAAAGCAACUGCAACGGUGAUCACAGUUUACAUUUAUGCAGACAGGAUCAACUGAAUGGGUUGAAGAAAACAGGGAGAUGCUUUCCUCGAGGGGUGUUUCAUAUCUGAAUAUCGAUCUUUCAGUAGUCGGUCCGGUUUUACUCCCAUCUAGAACUCCCCAACUUGAUGAACUACUACUGGAAACAAUUAAACUGAUCAUUUCUUUUUAGGUCAUCCCAGUCCAGCCCUGCAGUAGUAGGAAGGUCGAGCCCAUCGUAAGCUGCAGUCCACGGUAGUCACCCGGUCCCGCCUCCUUCAUCACCAUGCUUGUGGCAGGUGACCUCAUUGAUGUCUGAAGUUGCUCCUUCCCGCUGUCAUUAAACUGAAUCCAGAUCAAAGCAUUGAUCCCUCCCCCUGUCCGGUCUUGUAUUUGUUCUCUAAGUGAUUUUGAUUGAUGUCUGAAGUUCAACUAUAUCUGCAGGUGCAAAACACUUGUGCUUUUGGUGGUGUGUGGUGUAAAUAAACUACAAAUUUUGGUCAACAGGAUUUUUUCUCUAUAGCACUCUCUCUAACUCGCUUAGCCAAAGCAUGGUUGUGCUUGCUUAUGUGGUUUUUACCAUGAACGCAGACUUCAAUGACACAUAAAACAGGUUAAAAAAUGGAGCGCCAGCGGCUGUGAUGUCCAACUUCGGCGUGUAGCGCAGCGUGACCGCGCCUCCCCAAUAUCCUAUCAGAAGUUCAGGUUGUUCUGGUAGCGCGGGCGAACAUGCACCCUCCACUCUGCUGUGCGUGAGAAGGCACAUGGGUAAGUGGCCUAGGCAGAGAUUGAGAUGCACUGAACUUCUUCGACUAGGUCAUGGUGGAGCAGCCCCUGCUCUAGUUCUCUCAUUGGCUCGGCCUGUUCUUGGUGGGAUUGGUCAACAUGGAACAACAGGUCGGCUUGUACGCGGCUAAUGAUAGUUCAGUUAGAGGGAAAAAAACAGGUCGACUUUCAUGCAGCCUACUAAUAGAGUAAAAUUGCUGCUGCUGCUGCGUUAAAGAUGGCCCCAAAUGAAUCACGAUGUAGCCGAUGUACUACUUGUUCUACUAUACAUUGUGCCUUUUGUUUGGUGGAUCAGUUACUGUUUUGCUAGCUUUGGGCAUCGGCUGCUACAUCACAUGGAGCCAUGGAGAAUAAAAAUGGAUAAGAGAGAGAUGAUGCGGUGGUUA